CGUAGGGUGCGAGCGUUAAUCGGAAUUACUGGGCGUAAAGCGUGCGCAGGCGGUUUGUUAAGAUAGGCGUGAAAUCCCCGGGCUCAACCUGGGAACUGCGCUUAUGACUGGCAAGCUAGAGUACGGCAGAGGGGGUGGAAUUCCACGUGUAGCAGUGAAAUGCGUAGAGAUGUGGAGGAACACCAAUGGCGAAGGCAGCCCCCUGGGUCGAUACUGACGCUCAUGCACGAAAGCGUGGGUAGCAAACAGGAUUAGAUACCCUGGUAGUCCACGCCCUAAACGAUGUCAACUAGGUGUUGGGAGGGUAAAACCUUUUAGUACCGGAGCUAACGCGUGGAGUUGACCGCCUGGGGAGUACGGCCGCAAGGUUA
rnacentral:rRNA from 1 species